rnacentral:rRNA from 1 species
UAAGACGGAGGGUGCAAGCGUUGUUCGGAAUUACUGGGCGUAAAGCGCGGGCAGGCGGUUCGUUAAGUCGUUUGUGAAAACCCGGGGCUCAACCCCGCGGAAUGCAAGCGAUACUGGCGAGCUGGAGACCAGUAGAGGCUAGCGGAAUUCCUGGUGUAGCGGUGGAAUGCGUAGAUAUCAGGAAGAACACCUGUGGCGAAGGCGGCUAGCUGGGCUGGAUCUGACGCUGAUCUGCGAAAGCGUGGGGAGCAAACAGGAUUAGAUACCCUGGUAGUCCACGCCGUAAACGAUGGGCACUAGGUGCCGGGUCUAUAGACGGAUUCGGUGCCGCAGCUAACGCAUUAAGUGCCCCGCCUGGGGAGUACGGUCGCAAGGCUG